GCCACUGCACUCCAGCCUGGGUGACAGAGACAGACUCUGUCUCAAAAAAAUAAAUAAAUAACAAAAUAAAUUCAAUGUGUGUGUUUGUGUAUGUAUAUAUAUAAAUUAUUAAAUAUAUACAUAGUUUUCUUAUUAAAAAUACAAAGACGCUACUCUUUUUAUUAUGCUACGUAAAGUUAUGUUUUCUUUUCUUUUCCAAGUCACUGCCUCCCUCUGGGAGACAAUGUUCUACCAUGAGGUCCAGAGAUUGACACUUCUGUGGACUUAAUCUACAUGUCCAAGGAAUUCAAAGGUUGGAAAUACUCUUUCUGGAAUAUACGAUGGGACACUUCUGAGUCCAUUUACUCCUAGAUUGAAAAACUGAAUAUCCUGCAAUAAUAACUAGAAACAAGUUAUCUGUGAAAAUGCUUUGUGAUGUGUGGAUUCAUCUAAUGGAAUGCAACCUGUGUUUUGAUUCACCAGUUGGAAACACUCUUUUUGAGAGUCUAGGAAGGUUGGAAACACUCUUUUUGUAGAAUCUACAAAGGGACGAUUCUAAACCCAUUGAUGCCUAUAGUGGAAAACUGAAUAUUCCAUGAUAAGACUGGAUCAAAGCUAUCUAGGUAAAUUCUUUGAGAUGUUUGGAUUCAUCUUCUAGAAGUGAACCUGUGCUUUGACUCACUAUGUUGGAUACACUCUUUUUAUAGGAUCUAUGAAUGGACAUGAGGCUUACAGUGAAAAACAGAUCAUCCUGUGACAAAUAUGAAAAACAACCUAUCUGUGAACAUGCUUUAUAAUGUGUAGAUUCAUCUCACAGUGUUAUAUCUGUAUUUUGAUUCACUAUGUUGGAAACAAUAUCCUUUUUGUAGGAUAUUGGAACAGAUAUUUCUGAGCUCCUUGAGGCUUUCACUGAACAAUUGAAUAUUCCAUGAUAAAAACUAGGAACAAUCUAUCUGUGAAAAUGCUUUGUGACAUACGGAUUUAUCUCCCAGAAUUGGACCCAUGUUUUGAUUUUUCAGAUUAGAAAUACUCUCUUUGUAGAGUCUACAGUGGGACAUUUCUGAGCCCAUUUAAGCCCUUAAGUGAAAAACCAAAUAUCCCAUGAUAAAAACUAGAAGAAAGCUAUCUGUGAAAAUGCUGUAUGAUGUGUAAAUUUAUCUCACAGAAUGGAACUGUGUUUUGAUUCACCAGUUUAGAAACACUCUUUAUGUAGUAUCUAUGAACAGACAUAUUGAGCUCAUUGAAGCUUAUAGUGAAAAACCAAAUAUCUCUUAAUAAAUACUA
rnacentral:lncRNA from 1 species